rnacentral:rRNA from 1 species
ACGAACGCUGGCGGCGUGCUUAACACAUGCACGUCGAACGGAAAGGCCUCUUUCGGGGGGUACUCGAGUGGCGAACGGGUGAGUAACACGUGAGUAACCUGCCCUUGACUUUGGGAUAACUUCAGGAAACUGGGGCUAAUACCGGAUAGGAGCUCCUGCUGCAUGGUGGGGGUUGGAAAGUUUCGGCGGUUGGGGAUGGACUCGCGGCUUAUCAGCUUGUUGGUGGGGUAGUGGCUUACCAAGGCUUUGACGGGUAGCCGGCCUGAGAGGGUGACCGGCCACAUUGGGACUGAGAUACGGCCCAGACUCCUACGGGAGGCAGCAGUGGGGAAUAUUGCACAAUGGGUGGAAGCCUGAUGCAGCAACGCCGUGUGCGGGAUGACGGCCUUCGGGUUGUAAACCGCUUUCGCUCAUGACGAAGCUUUGUGUGACGGUAGUGGGUAAAGAAGCACCGGCUAACUACGUG